rnacentral:lncRNA from 1 species
UUUGGAAGAUCAAGGGAAUUAGAGAGAGGAGCUUCAUGCUUCGGGUCGGGGAAGGAAAGACAUAGAAUUUGGAUUUUUCUUCUUCGUAGAGUUUUGGGAAGACUGAGGCAAUCGCUGCUGAAGUUAGUGUUGUAAUGGUGAAUCGGGAUUUUUAAAUGAAGUGGGUUUGAAUACUCUUGACUGUUUUAUAAAAUUGAGUUACGUCUGUGAUUGAAGGAUUAAAAGGGUGUCUAUAGGAUUGAGUAUGCGGAGUGAAUGAAAUUUAUUGGGUUAAUCUAACAGGACAG